rnacentral:rRNA from 1 species
UACGGAGGGUGCAAGCGUUGUUCGGAAUUACUGGGCGUAAAGCGCGUGUAGGCGGUCGGGUAAGUCAGAUGUGAAAGCCUUCCGCUUAACGGAAGAAGGGCAUUUGAAACUGCCUGGCUGGAGUACGGGAGAGGAGAGUGGAAUUCCCGGUGUAGAGGUGAAAUUCGUAGAUAUCGGGAGGAACACCAGUGGCGAAGGCGGCUCUCUGGCCCAAUACUGACGCUGAGACGCGAAAGCGUGGGGAGCAAACAGG